UACGGAGGGUGCAAGCGUUAUCCGGAUUCACUGGGUUUAAAGGGUGCGUAGGUGGGCAAGUAAGUCAGUGGUGAAAUCUCCGGGCUUAACCCGGAAACUGCCAUUGAUACUAUUUGUCUUGAAUACUGUGGAGGUCAGCGGAAUAUGUCAUGUAGCGGUGAAAUGCUUAGAUAUGACAUAGAACACCAAUUGCGAAGGCAGCUGGC
rnacentral:rRNA from 1 species